GAUGAACGCUGGCGGCGUGCCUAAUACAUGCAAGUCGAGCGAACAGACGAGGAGCUUGCUCCUCUGACGUUAGCGGCGGACGGGUGAGUAACACGUGGAUAACCUACCUAUAAGACUGGGAUAACUUCGGGAAACCGGAGCUAAUACCGGAUAAUAUAUUGAACCGCAUGGUUCAAUAGUGAAAGACGGUUUUGCUGUCACUUAUAGAUGGAUCCGCGCCGCAUUAGCUAGUUGGUAAGGUAACGGCUUACCAAGGCAACGAUGCGUAGCCGACCUGAGAGGGUGAUCGGCCUCACUGGAACUGAGACACGGUCCAGACUCCUACGGGAGGCAGCAGUAGGGAAUCUUCCGCAAUGGGCGAAAGCCUGACGGAGCAACGCCGCGUGAGUGAUGAAGGUCUUCGGAUCGUAAAACUCUGUUAUUAGGGAAGAACAAAUGAGUAAGUAACUAUGCACGUCUUGACGGUACCUAAUCAGAAAGCCACGGCUAACUACGUG
rnacentral:rRNA from 1 species